UUGGAGGGCAAGUCUGGUGCCAGCAGCCGCGGUAAUUCCAGCUCCAAUAGCGUAUAUUAAAGUUGUUGCAGUUAAAAGCUCGUAGUUGAAUUUCGGGGUCAGUAGGUUGGUCAUGCCACUGGUAUGUACUGGCCUCACUGAUUCCUCCUUCCUGAUGAGCCGUAAUGCCAUUAAUUUGGUGUUGCGAGGAAUCUGGACUGUUACUUUGAAAAAAUUAGAGUGUUUAAAGCAGGCUAACGCUUGAAUACAUUAGCAUGGAAUAAUGAAAUAGGACGUUCGAUCUUAUUUUGUUGGUUUCUAAGAUUGACGUAAUGAUUAAUAGGGAUAGUUGGGGGCAUUAGUAUUCAAUUGUCAGAGGUGAAAUUCUUGGAUUUAUUGAAGACUAACUACUGNGAAAGCAUUUGCCAAGGAUGUUUUCAUUAAUCAAGAACGAAAGUUAGGGGAUCGAAGACGAUCAGAUACCGUCGUAGUCUUAACCAUAAACUAUGCCGACUAGGGAUCGGAUGAUGUUAAUUUUUUAAUGACUCAUUCGGCGCCUUACGGGAAAC
rnacentral:rRNA from 1 species